rnacentral:rRNA from 1 species
GCUCAGAACUUAAAGGAAUUGACGGGGCCCGCACAAGCGGAGGAGCAUGUGGUUUAAUUCGAUGAUACGCGAGGAACCUUACCUGGGCUCGAACGUAAGAUGACUGUAGGUGAAAGCUUACAUCUCUUCGGAGCAUUUUACGAGGUGCUGCAUGGUUGUCGUCAGCUCGUGCCGUGAGGUGUCGGGUUAAGUCCCAUAACGAGCGCAACCCCUACCUUUAGUUGCCAUCAGGUUAAGCUGGGGACUCUAAAGGAACUGCCUACGCAAGUAGUGAGGAAGGCGGGGAUGACGUCAAAUCAGCACGGCCCUUACGUCCAGGGCUACACACGUGCUACAAUGGCCGAUACAGAGGGCAGCUACCUGGUGACAGGAUGCAAAUCUCCAAAGUCGGUCUCAGUUCGGAUCGGAGUCUGCAACCCGACUCCGUGAAGUUGGAUUCGCUAGUAAUCGCGCAUCAGCCAUGGCGCGGUGAAUACGUUCCCGGGCCUU